GCCCAGUGAUGAGAUCAUGGCAAGUGUGAGCUGACUGGUCAAAAGGUUGAGUACUCGGCCUCCUGAUUGGUGGGUAAUCUUGGUAGGGAAGUGGAGAAUUGCUUUCCUGCUGUAAGGGCCCACCCACAUUAUACCAGCACCCCCUCUAAUGCUCCCCAUGGAGAGACCUGGAUGAGUAGGAGAGUGGGUGUUGACAGUGUGAGUGAGUUGUCUCUUCUGUGUUGUGUGUUUGGGUGUGUGUGUCUCUGUGUCAGGAGGCUGGGAGAUGCUCGGCCCUGUUAGCCAGUCUGCUGUGAUCAUCUUCUUUGGUAAUCUGAGGGCA